rnacentral:lncRNA from 1 species
CAAAACGCCGAGGUUCCGGCUGCAGGUUCCCUGGUGGGGCAGUAACGUGCCAUAAGCACCACUUACGGCACUUUACUGGUGAUGGCCUUUGGAGACUGGCUUUUAGCAGUGUAUUCAGGAAGAGAAGUGGGAAAUGACCAUGGAAAUUACGCAGCUUGCGAGCUCCAGCUUCCUUUCAAAUGACUUCGCUACACAAAUUUCACUUUGCAGUAUAUCAAUAUAUAUACAGCAUCUUUCCUUGACGCUUAAAUGGACGCUGUAUUUUUCUUCUGGGAUCUCCAUGCAUAGAAAAACAAACAAAAUCUGCACACUCAGAAUGCUCAGACCUGACUGCCUCCUGCAAAAAUGAGCUAUAGGGUAACCCAAGAGAUAAUCAUCGGAGGAUAACUGCGUGUUAUCCCCAUGCAAAACCCCUAUCUGCAUUCGAAAGGGGGAGCUGCAGAAGCUGCUAACGGUCCAGAAACAUCCUGAGGACACAAAAUUUGCCUUCACAAAACUCCUAAAGAAAGAUAACGGAUGGAAACCUCAAAGAACACAAAACCCGGGUUUUCAGGGUUUUUUAGCUGCACGUGAACGAACCGAAGUACCAGAUAAAGCUCAAUUAUCCUUUAAAGCUUACCUUUUGUUGUCGUAGUUGUUUGUAAGCCACGCAGCUGUUCUCCAGAACACCACCUGCAAGAACCUGCACGCGGAGCGUUCCGUCUUUGCAGCGUCAGUAAGAAUCAAGGGCAAGAGUUUGCUGGGAGUUUCUAACUUUCAAAAUGUUCAAAGAGAGAUUCACCUGAUUGAAAAGCUGCUUUCCCAUUAUUUAGUGCAGAAAACUGAAAAAGAUAUUGUAAUUAAGCUCAGGAGAUCAAUUAGCAUGUUAAACAACCACACGCGAGAUUCAAAACGUUACUCGCGGGUCAGCCAAUAGAAGAGAGUGCUCACAGGUGGAACUUUCUAGACUUGAUGAUGGUGCAGGGACAGCUGAACCUGUGGGCCUGAGCACCCAGCUGCGAGUAAUUGCGCUACAAAUCAGGGCCUGAAUAUAAGUUCCCCCCUGGGGGGUUUGACUUUUGUUUGUUCGGAGAACUGAUCGGUGUGAAGUUGCUCCCCCGGGAUGCCGUCAAGCUACGUUUUGAGCUGGAACAAGAUUGGGAAAAAGAUGGUGGUUUGACCACGAGGAUUGCUCGAGAAUGAAGGGGGACUACUCCGGAUGGGCUGAAAUGGGAAGGCUCCAUCUCAGAGGAGUGUUCUGGCGAUCUACCUGGAUAGGAACUGGAUUCUGCAGUCCUGAGUCAUGGUCAUGAGGAGAAGAGCUGUAAUGCUGUGAUACAGAAUUUCCGAUCUCUAACCUGAGCAGACGUGGCCUGCUUGUCAGCCUGGUCGCAAGGCAGCUCAGAUCCCGGCUUGGAUGCUUCAGGGUCACAGCCUCCAUCAGAUGAGCACAUGGAGGGAUGCAAAGACGGAAGAUGCCUCAUCUGCUGGGAAAUUCAACUACAACUGAAAUAGCUCAUCAUAAGCAAUAGUGAGCAGAGUGAUUACGGUCAAAAACGCAACACAGUGAGUGAGUAAUGCAUGCAGCUCCAGCUCUUCCCUACCUCUUAUGGACGAUGGGAGGUUGAAACAGCUCAUCUUUGAGAACUUUUGUUCCUGGUUUUGGGACACUUGAAAGAGAGCAUCUCCCAGUGGCAAAGAUAAGAGCCCACGUCCUUCCUGUAUCCUGUGGCUAUGCAUUCUCAGCCACAAGAGUCAGCAAGUCCCCUUCCAGAGGGAAGCGAUUUGGACAAUAACAUCUCAGACUGAUGCUGCUAAUCUGCCCUUACCCAAGGGAAGUGGGUGAGGUCAGAAGACGGGGAAAGACUUGUCUGCUGUCAGGAUGAUGGUGAAACUGACGCAUCAAAUAGAGCUGAAUGCUGCUGUAAAGUGCCUAGGGUCCCAACCUGUGGAAAUCGAAGUCUCUGAGGAUUCCUAUGUGAUCAAAGGCUGGAUUUCACUUCUCAAAGAGUCAGCUUUUGAGCAUUCCUUUGUGGAGCUGCAAGAACAUAAAGUCAUCACAGAGAGCCUCGUUAAAAGUGUUUAAUGAGAGCAGUGUGAUCCCACAGCCCAAGGGUCAGCAUGAGAGCAAGGACAGCCCAGAAGCCUCGUCCCACCAGAGCCGGGUAUCAUCAGGAGACCCCAUUCACCGAGGGACACAUUGACUGCUGUCACCAACACCCAGACAGGCACAGGAGACAAAGCAACCCAAGAGAACUGCAGCUGGGUAACAACGCCAGUGCGAAUUUCUCAGCCCAGAACAAGCCAAGACUCACUUCUGGCCAAAAUUCCUGCACUAAUGCUAACCACCAUCUGAUUACAUGAUUUUCCUGAGAUCCUGAUGCAAGUCGUUGUCACAGAAAGGGCUCAUGUGGGCACACUGCAGCCCAGGUUCCCUGCUGCCUACCUCUGCCUCUGGUUGGUCCGGUGCCCCGAGCAGCCCCAUCACCUGUGCUCUGCUCCCUGCUGGAAAAACAUGCUCGUUUUCAAAGGUGUGUGGCUGGAGCUGUGCUUGGGACAAAUCCGAAUGCUCUCUGCCUGGGGAGCAGGAUGGGGCUGAGGGGAAGAAAAGCAGCAGUUAAUGCAAAAGAAGAGAGAAGGAGAUUUUUCCAUGCAGUCAACAUGUUGCAUGUGCACGGCCAGAGUUCUCGUGAACCAAAAACCAAUUCACUGACUGAGGAAACUCCUCCCCGUGUUGGUUCAUUCCCUGUGCUGCACAUCUGCUUCUGGAAGCCAUGACCCACUGCUCAUCCGCCGGGCUGACAGCACACCAAGUCCUGCCUAAAUGCAAGAACCUCAGAGCAUCAGUAGGACAUCCCACCCAGCCAAAGAACCCGGAGGAAACUUCUAAGCUUGUAUGAGUCACUCAUCAUCUCAAGCAGCAUUAGAAGGAAAUUGCCUUAGGGCACUGUCAUCACCAUUUGUGAGUAUUUGUUGACAGCAAAUGUCUGUGCUACUGUUACGAACCUCAGGCUGGGCUAGGUUUGAACCUAAGAUCACCACUUUUAGCACUUAUACAUUGGCCAGCUGGGCUGAAAAAUGGAGAAUUCAGCAUCACCAGAAGCUGGCAGUUGCCUUAAAGUUAAUGUGCAUCUGCGCAUAGCCUUUGCCAGCAACAAAUGCAGAGUGAUGGGCUUAGCUUAGUUGAGAACAAAGUAUUCUUACAUCCCAAUGAACCUGAAAAGAGGGAGGUGAAAAAAAAUACCAUUACUGAUCUGGAACUAGAUGUUAGCAGGGGACAAAACUGCAAAUAGAUAUGCACACACACACUUCUGCCAUUGUUACACAAUCUUUCACAGCUACCAACAAUCUGCACAUUAUCCCUGAGUCUAGUUCACGUUCCCAUGAUCUGAUGGCAUCACCAGGAGAGUGCUUAUGUGUUCCAGCCAGGGCAAGCAGCACAGACUGGAGGCUUCCCAGGCAAGAAUAAGGUUGAUGCGUGUGUCACCUAAAAGCCCCCCUUCCACAUAUCUCACUCUAAGACAUCUCCCUGAAUUUACUGCCUACAAACCAACUGGCAAGCAGACAUUACAGCUUUUCCUAAAAUUUAGGUGAGCAGCAGCAAGGAGGUGGCUGGGCCAUUGCCUCCCAGCUCUUCCUCCAGGCUGCUCAGCUCAGUCUGUGUAACCUCAUCAGCAUCCUAGCAAAAAGCUAUUUUUGCCUCCUAAACAAGCACAAGAAAAACCUUGGUUGAAGCAGAAUGGAAAAGAGCUUCAUGGCUUCCCUGGAGAAGGGGAAUGCAAGAUGGUGGUUGGUAGCCAUCUAUCCCAUCUGUUGGAGCCUAGACCCAGUUUUGUCUAAAGAUCCAUGGACAAAUUUGAUGUGCUCACAAAGGGUGGCUGAGAUCCUAGCAGAGCUGAAGUUGACUUCAGACCUGGCCAGCCCAAGCAGAGGACAUUGCUGUUGUUUAAAAAUGAUACUCAUUAAGAGCAGAAGUCAGGCAAUGAUCACCUUCUGUAGUUGAUAAUACUCAAGGAGGGAGAUGGUGGAAAAAUGAAACCUUGGAAAAUAAAACUUAUUUGGCACCGCUGAUUAAAACCAGUUUGUGUUUCAUUGUUAAAGGCUGUGUUUGCUCAAGGUUUAUUCAGCUCUGGUCUCUUCCAUCCACAUACGGUUUGUUUUAAUGACUGUGGAGUUAUAUGAAUCUAUUAAUUUUUUUUUCCUGAAAGUUUCAUAACAACAAUGCCUGUUUUUUUCAUACAGCACUUUACAGCCACGCAUCUGGAAAUACAUUGCAAAUAGGCAAUUAGUAUCAGCCCUAUUUUGAAGAUGGAGAUACUCAGAGUCCAAGCAAGACAGCUAUUAAAGAACGGUGCCAAAAUUAGGCCUUUUGCUUCAUCUUGACAAGCUAGAACUACAGCCUCUUGAAGACAACAGGGAUGCAUGAAAAGCAUUUCAUUUAGCUAGCAGUAACUCUGUCUCAGGUUGGACAGACAAGAGGACAGCAGCAAAGACAGACUGACUCAUGCUAAACAACAGAGGUAGGAAGAGGACUUCCAGUAAUGACAGACUUAGGCCACUGCAAGCACUUACUUCCCAAAACCAGUGCUGAGGGAUCCAUCUCCAGUGAAGGGCUGACCAUCACAGGUUCCUGUUUUCUGAUAAGAGCUUGCUGCAUUUUUCCUCUCCACGUUUUUCAGCCUUUCCAGAUCUUCCUGUUAAAGCACAGAGUUGAAAACCAAUAAGAUAAUAUUAUUUGAGGCAAAUCUCUAACCCUUUAAUCAGGCUAUGUGGGAGGCAAGAAAAUGUUAGAUGCAAGGGAAUAUUAAAUUAAUAAUACUAUGUUGAAGUUGAGAUUAGUCAGAUUCCAGAGACAUAUAAUAACUAACUGCUGCCACCUCUGAUAUGGAUGUGUGGAGGCAAUGAGCAGGCUCACAGCAAGGAAGCAGGUCCUGGGCAGGACAAUGCUGCCAGACAUACUGUGGCAGUGCACUCAGCCCUUCACAUAGCUGCUGGAUGUAAUAGAACAGCCCCUGCAAAAGCUCAGAGCAGCCUUAUCCCAAAGUGCUGCACGGUCUUCCCACCUCUCCAUCGCAUCCAGCCCAACCUGGGGUGCUGCAUCCAGGGGUGCCCAGUCCUGUCUGGUGUUCCUGGAUCCCUGCUCACAGGUGGGAUGCUCAGGAGUGUCAGUGAUGGGAGUGAAAAUGAGGUGAACAGGUAAGAAUACAGACACUAUAAAGAAGUGAAGAGUGAAGAAACAUUUGGAAGAAAAACACAAAGGAAUUAAAGAUAUCUAGAGUGAAAGAGAUGGUGAAUGGCCUGAAGGGAGUUAAUGAGAUCCAGAAAUGCAAGUUGGAGAAAUGUUGAUUUUAUUUAGCAUUAAUUGCAGGAAAGAGCCUAUAAAGUGUGGUAAAAAAAUUAUUAAGUACCACUAUGCAAUGCCAGCUUUAUGCCAGCCAUCCCUACGAAGCAGGUGUAUUAUUCCUAGUUCCCUAGGUAUAAAUAAAUAACUGCUUUUCCAUGGUUUUCUUUUUUUUUUUUCUUUUUUAAAUGAUGGCUUUUCAUUAAUUUUUACUGCCAUAUUGUUAUAGUUCUGAUUCCUCCAGAGCAGCUCUGGGGAUCAGUUGGUGCUGGAGUGUGUGUAUGCAGGUUGGUACCUGCGAGCCAUGGGGCACUGCAUGGGAGAUGCAGUGUCUGUGAUCAUAGCACCCCAGGGGUGCAGCCCUGGUCUUCUUGCCCAUGGACUAAACAUGACCUCACCCAUGGUCUGAGCUCUGACAGCAACAUCUGGGUAAAUACAGAAAGGAACCUGAUGGAAAAUGGACAGUUUGAUGGUUGAUGGACAGUUGAAGGGUGAUGCAUUUUGCAUUGAGGGCUCAUACAGCAAAGCCCAGAAGGAACAGACGGACCACGUUACCCAAGAAACCUUUCCCAAGAUUGAGGUUGCCCUGGGAAAGAACAUUCUGAGGGACAUCACCACGAUGCAAGCACUGGUAUCAUGUCAACCCAUUGGUUGUGGUGUUGGCCUCUGGUGUCAGGGACGGGGAGUUGGGCUUCCCAUGCCACCACAGCCAUCCAGCACUCCUGACUGCACACUCCAAGACAAGAAAAGAAAAGGGAAAAUAAAACCUAUGUUCCGUUCCACUUUUAACUUUCUGCUCAUGCCCAUACAUUCCUCCUGGCGUUAUUACAAACGGGCUCCAAUGUUGCCUUUGUUAAGAAUGAGAGCAGAGCACAUUUCCCCGAGCAAUGUUUGUAUCAGCAUUUUCAGGCUCCUUUUAUCGAGUCUCGCACUUCUCAGAGGAGACUCAGCGGGGAGAUGAGCUCUGGAUGCGUUUUCCUAGCAACGUCUCGCUUCAGAGAGGCCACCAAAGACGUUCAGGGAAGCAGUGAUUCCCUGGUAGUGCCUCAGUCCAAGCUCUGACCUGGAACCGUGGGCUCAGCAAAUACACAUAAAUCUUCAGCUCACGUCCAAAUCAUCGCAAGGUUCAGUGAAAAUAGCAAAACUGCCAGUGGAUCUAACCGAAGUUUUAAUCCAGCUCCAGCAUGAUUUAUGGCCUCAGGUGGAAACCAUGAAGCACGAUGGCCUCAGCCCAAGCCAGGGGACGUUCGGCUGCCCCAGCCCUAAGGUGUUGUGUUACGGCACUGAAGAAUCAAGGCUGCAAGAGGCAUGGAUGAAACUGAACAGCACAAACACAUCCCAGCAACGCCUUCAACCUCUGUGCAUCACAGGCAGAGUAAGUGCCACUGAUAGAUCACACCAGCCUCCUCCACAAGGACGGAGGGAAUUAAAAAAAUACAUAAAAAUCAAAUAAUAAUAGGAGCAAGCGACCAAUAGAGGCAUUUUUUUCUGAUUAAAAAUAGCAAUUGACAAGCUCCACCAUUUGCAACAGUGCUUCCCUAAAUGCAGUAGUGCUAUGUUUGUCAGGACAUUUAUAAUGGCUUUAUAACACAUAUUUCCCUUUCAAAAUGCUAUUCAAUAGUAGAAAACCCACAUUCCAUCCACCAAAAAAAUAAGUCUCAGUGACCCAAUUUUCUAGAGAAGAAUGAAUGUCCUCUCCCUUCUGACUCUCAUUAGCCACCUGCAUAUUGGAAAACUAACAACAAGAGCAAUCAGCACACAGCACAAGGUCCCAGUGCCAUGACCAGAAGGGCUUUUGCCCCAUCCCUGUAUCAGCACAUCCCUAGGAACCUGCAACCAAUCCCUACCCCACAGCCAUCCCACGCAUCUGCAGCACUCCAUGGCUCAGCUGAGAAUACCACGCAGCCUGAGCUGACGUGGGCCGGUGAUUUAACAUCUGCAUCCCACCCUGGUGCCAAGCCUGUCUUUUUUCCAAUACUCAGCAUCCCUCCAUGCACAUGUAAAUAUCCAAAGGGAAACACUGCAGCAGAACUUUUGACCUGCACCAUAAUCCCAGACAGGACGUUAUAGCAACACCUGCAAUGCGCUCUGGCUUUUCCAGCUGAGAGCACUGUGAUCAUGGCACUGCCGUCCCCUCGGGGCACCACAGAUGACCAUGAGCUAAUGAGCACAGUGCAGACACUCUGCAGGAUUUUUGUUCUGAGGCGAUGAGAAAUGGUUCACCAGAAUUGGAGAACCCAAGCAGAGAUGCUCAGGAAGACGUAACCAGUGCCGAAUGAGUUCAGUUCUCCUCUCGUUUUGCCUUUAUACCACAAUGUCUCUGUGCAGACAAAACCUGAGAACUGUCUUCUGAUUUUUCAGACCAGUUUCUCAUCCCUGUGACAGCAGUGUGAUGUAGAGAUCACAAAACCCAGCCAGUCCCCAGCACUCCUUACUACAGCCUCACACAUCAGCCCUCGCACAUCCAUGCUGAGGUGGGUGCUGGCAAAAGCAAAAACCUUGGUUCUCUCCCUCUCUUCCAGUGGGAAACCAGAGAGAUCCCCAGCUCUUCUCAUUGGAAAAGUGUCAGCUUGCACUGAAAGGGUUUCUGCAGGUCCUAUGUUGUAAAUGAACAAAGAUUAAAAAAAAACACAACUUUUUUUUUUCCCUAAACUCAAGUGAAAGGAAGAGUGUGACAAGGAGUCAGGAGUCUGUCUGGCGUGGAAUAUUCCUGCAGCACUCGGGGCUGUGGUUUAUUUUACUGGUGGUGACUAGUUCAAGCCACAUUUAGUCAAUAAAUAUGAGAUAUGAGGUCACCCCGCCAUUUAGCUGUUACCCUGUCUACAUAUUUCACAGCUGGGCAGUAACCUUUUAACUAGCGUCUACCUCGGUGGGGAGUCUCCAUAAAAAAAGAGCCAGGAUCCCUUGGUCGUGGUGGGGGACCCAGGCGCAGGAGCUCCACAAGGAGUUCUGAGCAGAAGGGCCUGCACCAGGCUCUGCCUUUUGCUCUCAUGCCCAUUUGCAGCGCACAGCACCCAGCUGGGCUACGUGCAGGGAUCGGGUGAUGGAGCCACAUCCCAUGUGCUGAGCUCUACAAUAAGAUCCCCCUUCUUCUACGUGGAGAUAGGCCACAUGACAAGUUUCCUGUAAUUCCCAGCUUUGGGAGCACCUAUCCAAGGUGAAUGUUUCCAAGGAGCUCAACACCUUCAAAGGGUUUGUUCUCCUCUGCCUGGGUCCACAGCUUCUCCUGUGUGCCUUUGCCUU